GUGGGAGUGCCGGAGCGGAAAACGGGACAGCCUCAAGAGCUGUUGGCUUAGUGCCUACGCAGGUUCAAAUCCUGUCUCCCACA
rnacentral:tRNA from 1 species